rnacentral:rRNA from 1 species
UACCAGCACCCCGAGUGGUCGGGACGAUUAUUGGGCCUAAAGCAUCCGUAGCCGGCCUUACAAGUCCUCCGUUAAAUCCAGCUGCUUAACAGAUGGGCUGCGGGGGAUACUACAGGGCUAGGAGGCGGGAGAGGCAAGCGGUACUUUAUGGGUAGGGGUAAAAUCCGUUGAUCCAUAGAAGACCACCAGUGGCGAAGGCGGCUUGCCAGAACGCGCUCGACGGUGAGGGAUGAAAGCUGGGGGAGCAAACCGG